GGAUGAGCUGGGCGCCUCUACCAUGGAUAGCCGCCGGGGGGACCCUCGGUUGGGAUCGAAUCGGACGCGGCAGAUGUUCCUGACGUCGUCGGCAGCAGCAAAGCGAAGGAGAGGCAGGGAUGAAAAGAUCUCUGGGCUGGGGAGCCGUCGAGCGUGUGGAGGCAGGGCCGAGGAGGUCGAUGGAUCCACGAGUGCGUCGGAGAUGCACUGGGUAGCAGGCGGGAUGUGAAGAGGCAGAUCCCAGAGGCUUCUGCGCUCGCGAGAGAGGGGAGAGAGGCGCGAGGGGUCGGCGAAGGACGUGCCCGGGCGAUGAGCCGGCGGGGGAGGAGCUGAACUGCUCGUGAUCGGGGGGAGAUACGUGAGCUGAACUGACGGCCCCCUCCUCCCUUCUUCCUGCACGCCGCUCGUCACCCCUCUCCUCCCUCCUCACGUGCCCAUGCCUGUCGAUCCCUCAGCUCCUCCCUGCGCGCCGCCACCCGUCCGCUCCCCGCCUCCCUACUUGCCGCCGUCCGUCCGCCCCCCUUUUCCUCCUCCCCGUGCGCCGCUGCUCGUCACCCCUCUCCUCACUGUGCGCCGCCGCCCGCCGGUCCCUCCUCGGCAACUCCAUCUCUCGACCAAGCGCCACCGCCCGUCCGCCCGCUCCCCCCCCCCCCCCCCCCGCCGCCCUCCCUAUCGGCCCAGCGCCUGGGGCACCCAGUGCGCCACACCGGACCGGCGACCCCUGGAUCCGCCGCCGGGUUGCGGGCACAUGGGUGGCGGCGCAGCAGCCGGAGACGCCCCGGGCAGAGGAGACGAAGGGAACGGCAGCGGUCGGUGGCAAGGAGCCCAAGAUCCCGGCACGGAGGUGGCGGGAUCUCCUCCGGCUGCGGAAGCAGCAGGCGUCGUCGGGGUCCAGCUCGACGGCGGCGAGUGCAUCGUCGGAGCCGAGGCCGUUGCGCCGGCUCCUCCACCGCGGGCCAAAGCCGCCGGAGCCAGAGACGUCGCUGAGCCUGCCGCUCCUCCGCGAGGCCGGCCCUGUCGCGGUGGGGCGGCGUGUCGGCGAGCGGGCGGGCGGCGUGAUGCCUGGUCGGUUGGGGGAGUGAGAGGCGGGGUCGGGUGGGAGGGGGUGGAUGGGGGCUCGCCCGCCCGUGGUUCUGCCGGCAGAGCCAUGGGGUGCGACGUGGACACUACGUGCUUUUUAGUAGUAGAGAUUUUGACAUCCAAGAAUUUGAUCUUGUUGCCACGGCAAAACAG